AUAUUGCUCAAUGGGAGAAAUCCUGAAGCAGCAACGCCGCGUGGAGGAUGAAGGGUCUAUGACUUGUAAACUCCUGUAAAGAAGGAAAAAAUUCCCAUUUGAUGGGAGAUGAUGGUACUUCUGGAGUAAGCCCCGGCUAACUACGUGCCAGCAGCCGCGGUAAUACGUAGGGGGCAAGCGUUGUCCGGAUUUACUGGGUGUAAAGGGUGCUCAGGCGGAUUUGUAAGUCAGAGGUGAAAUCUUACAGCUUAACUGUGAAACUGCCUUUGAUACUGCAAGCCUAGGGUAUGGAAGAGAGUGAUGGAAUAUCUGGUGUAGCAGUGAAAUGCGUAUAUAUCAGAUAGAACACCAAUGGCGAAGGCAGUCACUUGGUCCAUUACUGACGCUAAAGCACGAAAGCGUGGGUAGCAAACA
rnacentral:rRNA from 1 species